rnacentral:rRNA from 1 species
UNGGAGAGGAAAGUGGAAUUCNUAGUGUAGCGGUGAAAUGCGUAGAUAUUAGGAAGANCACCAGUGGCGAAGGCGACUUUCUGGACGAAAACUGACGCUGAGGCGCGAAAGCCAGGGGAGCGAACGGGAUUAGGUACCCCGGUAGUCCUGGCCGUAAACGAUGGGUACUAGGUGUAGGAGGUAUCGACCCCUUCUGUGCCGGAGUUAACGCAAUAAGUACCCCGCCUGGGGAGUACGACCGCAAGGUUGAAACUCAAAGGAAUUGACGGGGGCCCGCACAAGCGGUGGAGUAUGUGGUUUAAUUCGACGCAACGCGAAGAACCUUACCAGGUCUUGACAUUGAUGGACAGAACCAGAGAUGGUUCCUCUUCUUCGGAAGCCAGAAAACAGGUGGUGCACGGUUGUCGUCAGCUCGUGUCGUGAGAUGUUGGGUUAAGUCCCGCAACGAGCGCAACCCCUAUCUUAUGUUGCCAGUACUUUGGGUGGGGACUCAUGAGAGACUGCCGCAGACAAUGCGGAGGAAGGCGGGGAUGACGUCAAAUCAUCAUGCCCCUUAUGACCUGGGCUACACACGUACUACAAUGGGAGUUAAUAGACGGAAGCGAGAUCGCGAGAUGGAGCAAACCCGAGAAACACUCUCUCAGUUCGGAUCGUAGGCUGCAACUCGCCUACGUGAAGUCGGAAUCGCUAGUAAUCGCAGGUCAGCAUACUGCGGUGAAUACGUUCCCGGGCCUUGUACACACCGCCCGUCACACCACGAAAGUCGGAAGUGCCCAAAGCCGGUGGGGUAACCUUCGGGNAGCCAGCCGUC